GGGUUUGUGGCUCAGUGGUAGAGUACUUGCCUAGCAUGUGAGAGAUACUGGAUUUGAUUCUCAGCAUCCCA
rnacentral:tRNA from 1 species